CAUGAAAAUGUAGGUUCGGUUGAGAUAAGAAAUAAGAUGAUUCAGAAUUAGUACUUACAGCUUGAAUUAGGUCAUAAAUUUCAGACUCAUUGAGAUUAUGACCAUAUCUUUUAUGUUCACCUAUCAUUACUCACAAACAACACGACACAGUAAAGUCAUGUGACAAAUACAACUUGGAAGCCCAAGUACCAUAUGUUUCUUCAUUUAGCUAAGUUUUUGUGUACAGUGAAAGUCUCGAGCAUCCUAUGGAAAACAGUGUCAUUCACUUAUAUUUUGACUCUAGAUAAAUAACAAUAAGUAUACCAUAACUUUGCAUCCCUGGUUUGUGAAGAUUGAAUUCUCCAAUUGCAAUUUAUGGAGAAAUAGGAAAAUACCAUGGUAAGGGACAUUAACCCCUACCUUUAAAGACUGAAUAUCAGUACUAUAUAGUCCAUAGGUAACAGAAUUCCACAGCUUCUUGUGCUCUUCCAUCCAUUGAAUACGAAUGGAUACUACUAUGAAGAGAGUACCAAAUAAAUGAAUAGUGAAACAUUGAAUAAUCAAACACGUCCAUCCAUAAACCAUUAUCUUAUCAAGUAUCACACAUGGCUAACUUUAGCAAGACAGAAUAAGUUGUUAGGUUUACAUAGUCCAAUUUCACUUAUUUAAACACAACACAAAGCUGUAUGAGUCAUUAUAUAUUCUCCAGAGUCUGUGUUAUGUCAUUUGGACUGAUCACUCUUCCCUCACUUUCAGUCAUCUCUUGUUAUUGUAUAGCCAUGCACCAUACACCACCACCAAAAUCAUCAAACCGGCUACCAAGAAGAUGCCAACACCCGCCCCAAACAAGAGAGUGCCACUGAGAUUUGGAUCCAUUCCUUUCAUCCCUGGCCAUAGGAAAUGUAGAAAUCCUUUCUCAGAUGAGAUGUUUGUUGUAAGAGGAUCAACAUUUUCAGCGUCUGUGCUUGUCUAAACAAAGAAGAA